AUGCCUGUGGGGUCAGAGGACCGCGGCUUCCUGGGACGGCGGAGGUCUCUGCCCUUAUCUUCAUGCAAAUGUUCAGUUGGGUUGCUGCUAGCCUCACUGAGGGCGCCCCGUGAAACAAUCCUGUCAUACCUCGGAUUUUGGUGCCUUCAGUCUGAAAAAUACACACAUCCAUUUGGUACCCUAGAGGAACUGGAGAAUUGUCUUCCCCUGAAUGAAGCUGGACCAUUCUGGGAUUUGGAGAAAGGCUCCCCGAAGCCCCCAGGAACCCCCGCAGCCUGGCUCUCGGCCGACCCUCUUCGGGACACCAGUGUCAUGUUGCGUUCACUGAUCCGUAUGAUGGCAUGUCCGGCACCACCAGUGACGGCAGGUUCGCUGCUCCGUGUGAUGACGCCUUCCCCGCUCCACGGAGUGCUAGCCUGCGUGUUCGUCGUGCUGAGAGGUCACAGAGGGAAAGGGAGCCUUGGAGCAAUGCCCCGGGGGAUAGAGGCCAGAAUGUUCCAGGUGGAAAAAAUCUGUGCUCCAGGUGGUGACAGCAGUGAAAUCUGGCCACACCAGGGAGUGUCUGCUGCGGGGAGCCUCGGCCAGGCCACCGUCGGGCCUCCCUCCAGCCUGCUGGGCAGUAGCCCCCCUUCCCACGUCCACGCUCCGUGGGCCGCGGGCACUGGCACCCUGGGAGCUGGAGAGAUGCAGCUGGAAGAGCCCGCGCCCGGGGCACGAGGGGUCCCAUGCCAUGUCACGGGCUUGUCCCCAGCUGCCACCGUGCUGAUGGCUUGGCCGCCACUGCUGCUUACUGAGCACACCCGCGUGGGCCCUCGCUGCUGUGCCUUCUGUCGAGGCUCCGGCUCUCUCAUCCCUGAGGGACCCCGGCAUCCCACCUACCCAGGCUCACCAAGACAGGGCCCAUCACCGGUCCUCCGCACUCCUGAGUGUCGCACAGAGCGGGGGUCAGGCCACCUUAGGUUGUUGGGCUAUGGUUUUUGCAGAGUCCUGAGCUCCUGUGAAGAUCUGCUUCUCUCCAGCCUUGGGCUAUCUGCAUUCUUGAACAUCUCCGGGCCCAGAAGGAAAAGAAGAAUGCUGAGCAGCUCAGGGAAUGGCUUGAAUGAAAAGAGCACGUUCCUGGCGGUGGUGACAUCGGUCUGCAAGCAGUCAGCCCGAUAG
rnacentral:lncRNA from 1 species